GUGGUGCACAUUCCUAAAGCCUUCCAGACUUUCUGUAAGAAGUGUGGCAAGCACCAACCCCACAAAGUGGCACAGGACAAGAAAGGCAAGGAUGCUGUGUAUGCGCGGGGAACAUGGCGUCAUGGCAGGAAGCAGAGCGGGAGUAAGCCAAUUUUCCAAUAAAAAGGCUAAAACUACAAAGGAGAUGGUGCUGAGGCUUGAGCGCUGAGCCCAGCUGCAGAUCUAAGACGAUGCUGGAUAUGAGGACAUGCAAGCAUUUUGAACUAGGAGGAGAUAAGAAGAGAAAGGGCCAAGUGAUUCAGUUC
rnacentral:lncRNA from 1 species